UGGGGAAUUUUGGACAAUGGGCGAAAGCCUGAUCCAGCAAUGCCGCGUGUGUGAAGAAGGCCUUCGGGUUGUAAAGCACUUUUGUCCGGAAAGAAAUCCUCUGGGUUAAUACCUCGGGGGGAUGACGGUACCGGAAGAAUAAGCACCGGCUAACUACGUGCCAGCAGCCGCGGUAAUACGUAGGGUGCAAGCGUUAAUCGGAAUUACUGGGCGUAAAGCGUGCGCAGGCGGUUUUGUAAGACGGAUGUGAAAUCCCCGGGCUUAACCUGGGAACUGCAUUCGUGACUGCAAGGCUAGAGUAUGGCAGAGGGGGGUAGAAUUCCACGUGUAGCAGUGAAAUGCGUAGAGAUGUGGAGGAAUACCGAUGGCGAAGGCAGCCCCCUGGGCCAAUACUGACGCUCAUGCACGAAAGCGUGGGGAGCAAACAGGAUUAGAUACCCUGGUAGUCCACGCCCUAAAACGAUGUCAACUAGUUGUUGGGGAUUCAUUCCUUAGUAACGUAGCUAACGCGUGAAGUUGACCGCCUGGGGAGUACGGUCGCAAGAUUAAAACUUAAAUGAAUUGACGGGGUCAUAGCUGUUUCCU
rnacentral:rRNA from 1 species